AUAAGGUACAGCAUAAAUACAGUAAUGAGGUACAGCAGAAAUACAGUAAUGAAGUACAGUAGAAAUACAGUAAUAAGGUACAGCAGAAAUACAGUAAUGAAGUACAGUAGAAAUACAGUAAUGAGGUACAGUAUGAAUACAGUUGUGACGUACAGUACAUUAAAAACAUUACUCACUGUGUUAAUCAUGUGGUGUUUAACACUAAGUGUUUAACACUAGAGGGAGAACACACACCAGGGAGGGGAGGUAGAGAGAGGCUAGAGGGAGAACACAGACCAGGGAGGGAGGGUAGAGAGAGAACACACACCAGGGAGGGAGGGUAGAGGGAGAACACAGACCAGGGAGGGAGGGUAGAGGGAGAACACAGACCAGGGAGGGAGGGUAGAGGGAGAACACAGACCAGGGAGGGAGGGUAGAGAGAGAACACAGACCAGGGAGGGAGGGUAGAGAGAGAACACACACCAGGGAGGGAAGGUAGAGAGAGAACACAGACCAGGGAGGGAAGGUAGAGAGAGAACACAGACCAGGGAGGGAGGGUAGAGAGAGAACACACACCAGGGAGGGAGGGUAGAGGGAGAACACAGACCAGGGAGGGAGGGUAGAGAGAGAACACAGACCAGGGAGGGAAGGUAGAGAGAGAACACAGACCAGGGAGGGAGGGUAGAGAGAGAACACACACCAGGGAGGGAGGGUAGAGGGAGAACACAGACCAGGGAGGGAGGGUAGAGAGAGGGUAGAGGGAGAACACAGACCAGGGAGGGAGGGUAGAGAGAGAACACAGACCAGGGAGGGAGGGUAGAGAGAGGCUAGAGGGAGAACACAGACCAGGGAGGGAAGGUAGAGAGAGAACACAGACCAGGGAGGGAGGGUAGAGAGAGGCUAGAGGGAGAACACACACCAGGGAGGGAGGGUAGAGAGAGAACACAGACCAGGGAGGGAAGGUAGAGAGAGAACACAGACCAGGGAGGGAGGGUAGAGGGAGAACACAGACCAGGGAGGGACGCUAGAGGGAGAACACAGACCAGGGAGGGAAGGUAGAGAGAGGCUAGAGGGAGAACACAGACCAGGGAGGGAGGGUAGAGAGAGGCUAGAGGGAGAACACAGACCAGGGAGGGAGGGUAGAGAGAGGCUAGAGGGAGAACACAGACCAGGGAGGGAGGGUAGAGAGAGAACACAGACCAGGGAGGGAAGGUAGAGAGAGAACACAGACCAGGGAGGGAGGGUAGAGAGAGGCUAGAGGGAGAACACACACCAGGGAGGGAGGGUAGAGAGAGGCUAGAGGGAGAACACACACCAGGGAGGGAAGGUAGAGAGAGGCUAGAGGGAGAACACAGACCAGGGAGGGAGGGUAGAGAGAGAACACAGACCAGGGAGGGAAGGUAGAGAGAGGCUAGAGGGAGAACACACACCAGGGAGGGAAGGUAGAGAGAGGCUAGAGGGAGAACACAGACCAGGGAGGGAGGGUAGAGAGAGGCUAGAGGGAGAACACACACCAGGGAGGGAGGGUAGAGAGAGGCUAGAGGGAGAACACACACCAGGGAGGGAGGGUAGAGAGAGGCUAGAGGGAGAACACAGACCAGGGAGGGAGGGUAGAGAGAGGCUAGAGGGAGAACACACACCAGGGAGGGAGGGUAGAGAGAGGCUAGAGGGAGAACACAGACGAGGGAGGGAAGGUAGAGAGAGAACACAGACCAGGGAGGGAAGGUAGAGAGAGAACACAGACCAGGGAGGGAGGGUAGAGAGAGAACACAGACCAGGGAGGGAGGGUAGAGAGAGGCUAGAGGGAGAACACACACCAGGGAGGGAGGGUAGAGAGAGGCUAGAGGGAGAACACACACCAGGGAGGGAAGGUAGAGAGAGGCUAGAGGGAGAACACAGACCAGGGAGGGAGGGUAGAGAGAGAACACAGACCAGGGAGGGAAGGUAGAGAGAGGCUAGAGGGAGAACACAGACCAGGGAGGGAGGGUAGAGAGAGAACACAGACCAGGGAGGGAGGGUAGAGAGAGGCUAGAGGGAGAACACACACCAGGGAGGGAGGGUAGAGAGAGGCUAGAGGGAGAACACAGACCAGGGAGGGAAGGUAGAGAGAGAACACAGACCAGGGAGGGAAGGUAGAGA